rnacentral:lncRNA from 1 species
UUGGGCUAUGGCAGUGGUUCCCAGCCUUGGGUAACCCAGGUGUGCUUGGACUGCAUUUCCCGGAAGCCUUCACCACUGGUUGUGCUGGCAGGAAUUUCUGGGAGUUGCAGUCCAAGAAUAUCUGGGUUGCCCAAAGUGGGAACUCCUGAACUAUGAUAGCUGUUAUCCCUCCUUAGGGAUGAUGGGCACUGCAGCCCAACUCGUCCGCAGGGCACCGGGCUGAAGAAGACUCAACUGCAGAAAUGAUGGGAAAACGAACAAAAUUGUUCCCGGGCUGUACCAUCACAACACACAAGUGACAACAAUGCUGACUGCAUGUUUGAAUUCUUCUGUGAGAAAACAUCCUCAGAAGAGGCCAUGGGCGCCUCCCACCUGCUCAGCCUUGAUCCAAUUUCAUAGAACAUGGCCCCUGCAUUCCUACAGAACCAUGGCUUGGUUUUGUUAUAAAGACACCUGGUACGUGUCACUAAAUGCAGAGAUGCUUACUCAGUUUUUUUUCCUUUUGUGGCAAGUAUGUUACAAUGUUUGCAAAAGAACUUGCCCUUCUCAUGUGACUGUGUGAGGUGGUGAUUUUGUUUCAUAAUGAGAGGACAGAGAAAACAUAGCAUUAGUCAUAGAAAAAGGGAACAAUGCUUGGUUGUUCUGAAUCUGAAAGCCCCGAGACUGUGGAAAGUUGUGCUUUGUCCUACUGUGUCCGCUUCAGAACUACAUCACAAUGUAUAUGGACCGACUGACUCAUAUAGCAUGGUUCUCUAUGUACUGUAUUAGAACAGUGUAAUACCUCCCCAUGAGGCAUGCAUUUUGACAUUAUUCUUUACUGAUGUGAAAUGAUAGCUAGGUUUUCCUCUUUUCUACAUGGUCCUGUGUCCCAUUAUAUUUAAGCAAAGAUUCUACUACCUUCACAAUCCAAAGGCAAGGGUAGGUGAUUCCUUUGGUAGAUCACUAAAAUUGCAAACAUAAUAAGCUAGCUUCUGACCCCAUACAGGCUCAAAAAUCAUAGAAUAAUUGAAUUGGAAGGGGCCUAUAAGGCCACCGAGUCCAACCCCCUGCCCAAUGCAGGAAUCCAAGUCUACUUUUCUCUUCAAUGCCUCCAGCCUUGGAGCACACCUCCCAAGGUACAGUGGUGCCUCGAUUUAUGAACUUAAUUGGUUCCGGAACUCCAGUCAUAACUCGAAAUGGUCGUAAGUCAAAGCAACCAUUUCCCAUAGGAAUGCAUUGAAAUGCAAUUAAUCCAUUCCAGCCAAAGAAAAGAAAAUCACCCCAAAAAACCACACAAAACACUGCAAGACCCAUCAGAAAUGCGAUUAAUCCAUUCUGACCAAAGGGGGGGGGGGAAAAGAAAAGCAAACAAA